UACGGAGGAUCCAAGCGUUAUCCGGAUUCAUUGGGUUUAAAGGGUGCGUAGGCGGAAUGAUAAGUCAGUGGUGAAAGCCUGCAGCUUAACUGCAGAACUGCCAUUGAUACUGUCAAUCUUGAGUACAUUUGAUGUGGGCGGAAUGUGUCAUGUAGCGGUGAAAUGCUUAGAUAUGACACAGAACACCGAUUGCGAAGGCAGCUCACAAAACUGUAACUGACGCUGAGGCACGAAAGCGUGGGUAU
rnacentral:rRNA from 1 species